ACAACAACAUUCGGACCGUCGGUCUACCGAGCAAAUAUCACCCGCUCGGUGGAGGAUCUUCCCUUUGCCGUUUAAG
rnacentral:pre_miRNA from 1 species